GCCCAGACUCCUACGGGAGGCAGCAGUGGGGAAUAUUGCACAAUGGGGGAAACCCUGAUGCAGCGACGCCGCGUGAGCGAUGAAGUAUUUCGGUAUGUAAAGCUCUAUCAGCAGGGAAGAAGAUGACGGUACCUGACUAAGAAGCCCCGGCUAACUACGUGCCAGCAGCCGCGGUAAUACGUAGGGGGCAAGCGUUAUCCGGAUUUACUGGGUGUAAAGGGAGCGUAGACGGCGAUGCAAGCCAGGAGUGAAAGCCCGGGGCCCCACCCCGGGACUGCUCUUGGAACUGCGUGGCUGGUGUGCAGGAGGGGCAGGCGGAAUUCCUGGUGUAGCGGUGAAAUGCGUAGAUAUCAGGAGGAACACCGGUGGCGAAGGCGGCCUGCUGGACUGCAACUGACGUUGAGGCCCGAAAGCGUGGGGAGCACACAGGAUUAGAUCCCCCUGUA
rnacentral:rRNA from 1 species